AGCCUACCCUAGCCUCAUCCACUGCAAUUAAGAACCCACUACCUCACCCAACUAAAACAUUCCCCCACCACCUAGUAUAGGCGAUAGAAAAGUACUCUCGAGCGCCAUAGAAAAAGUACCGUAAGGGAAAGAAUGAAAUAAUAAUGAAAACCAAGCACUACACAGCAAAGAUAGACCCUUGUACCUUUUGCAUCAUGAUCUAGCAAGAACAAGCAGACAAAGUGAACUUAAGCCUGUCCCCCCGAAACCCAAGCGAGCUACUUACGAGCAGCUACCAUGAGCAAACCCGUCUCUGUCGCAAAAGAGUGGGACGACUCGUUAGUAGAAGUGAAAAGCCAAUCGAGCUGGGUGAUAGCUGGUUGCCCGCAAAGAGAAUCUAAGUUCUCCCUUAACCUCUCUCCCAGGAUAACAAACCCAAACCCCCGUGCAGCAGAUUAAGAGCUACCUAAAGGGGGUACAGCCCCUUUAAAGAAGGAUACACCCUCCACUAGCGGAUAACCUCUCUCCACUUUUUCUCAACCUCGUGGGCCCUAAAGCAGCCACCCCAAAAGAGUGCGUCAAAGCUCCCAACUAAAAAUCCAAAAAUAUUGUGACUCCCUACAUCCCUAGCUGGCUAACCUAUAACAAUAGAUGAAUCAAUGCUAGAACGAGUAACCAGGACACCCUCCCCUCAAGCGCUAGCCUACAUACCAUUAACAGUCCAACCAUCAAUGCUUAACCUCCCCAAGAUUAAACAUUGAACAUACCCUGUUAACCCAACCCAGGAGCGCACAUUAGGAUGAUUAAAAUCUACAAAAGGAACUCGGCAAACUCAAGGCCCGACUGUUUACCAAAAACAUAGCCUUCAGCCAAACAAGUAUUGAAGGUGAUGCCUGCCCAGUGACACCAUGUUUAACGGCCGCGGUAUCCUAACCGUGCAAAGGUAGCGCAAUCAAUUGUCCCAUAAAUCGAGACUUGUAUGAACGGCUAAACGAGGCCUUAACUGUCUCCUGUAGACAAUCAGUGAAACUGAUCUUCCUGUGCAAAAGCAGGAAUAAGCACACAAGACGAGAAGACCCUGUGGAACUUUAAAAUCAAUAGCCACUACACAUCAACCCAAAGCCCACCAGGCUCCACCAUCUACAACACUGGCUAACAUUUUUAGAUUGGGGCGAUCUUGGAGAAAAACAAACCCUCCAAAAAUAAGGCCAAACCCCUUAGCAAAGAACAACCCUUCCAUGCGCUAACAGCACCCAGACCCAAUAAAAUUGACCAAUGAACCAAGCUACCCCAGGGAUAACAGCGCAAUCUCCCCCAAGAGCCCCUAUCGACGAGGAGGUUUACGACCUCGAUGUUGGAUCAGGACAUCCUAGUGGUGUAGCCGCUACUAAGGGUUCGUUUGUUCAACGAUUAACAGUCCUACGUGAUCUGAGUUCAGACCGGAGCAAUCCAGGUCGGUUUCUAUCUAUGAUUAACCUUUCCCAGUACGAAAGGACCAGAAAGGUAGGGCCAAUACCUCUAGCACGCCCUCACUUUAAAUGAUGACUCCAACUAAAUCACCAAAAGCUUACACUCACACUCCCUCUAGAAAAGAGCC
rnacentral:rRNA from 1 species